rnacentral:tRNA from 1 species
UUUGCGAUUUUUUUAUGGCCGAGCUAAGCAUUAGAUUUUUAAUCUAAAGACGGAAAUUUAUUUUCC